rnacentral:lncRNA from 1 species
GAGCCUUCCUGCAAUCGAGGUUGGGGAUGAAGUCCGGCUCCCGUAGGAGUCCGGACAGAGUCUACCCGUAGUCGAGGUCGAGGAUGAGGUCCGACACCCGUAAGAGUCCGGACGGAGUCUUCCAGUAGUUGAGGUUGGGGAUGAAGUCCGGCUCCCGUAGGAGUCCGGAUGGAGUCUGCCUGUAGCUGGAGUCGGAGAUGAUCUGGCUCCCAUAGGAGUCCGAUCGAAGCCUACCAGCAAUCGAAGUUGGGGAUGAGGUCUGGCUUCCGUAGG